rnacentral:rRNA from 1 species
GAUGAACGCUGGCGGCGUGCCUAAUACAUGCAAGUCGAGCGAACGGACGAGAAGCUUGCUUCUCUGAUGUUAGCGGCGGACGGGUGAGUAACACGUGGAUAACCUACCUAUAAGACUGGGAUAACUUCGGGAAACCGGAGCUAAUACCGGAUAAUAUUUUGAACCGCAUGGUUCAAAAGUGAAAGACGGUCUUGCUGUCACUUAUAGAUGGAUCCGCGCUGCAUUAGCUAGUUGGUAAGGUAACGGCUUACCAAGGCAACGAUGCAUAGCCGACCUGAGAGGGUGAUCGGCCGCACUGGAACUGAGACACGGUCCAGACUCCUACGGGAGGCAGCAGUAGGGAAUCUUCCGCAAUGGGCGAAAGCCUGACGGAGCAACGCCGCGUGAGUGAUAAAGGUCUUCGGAUCGUAAAACUCUGUUAUUAGGGAAGAACAUAUGUGUAAGUAACUGUGCACAUCUUGACGGUACCUAAUCAGAAAGCCACGGCUAACUACGUG